UACGGAGGGGGCGAGCGUUAUUCGGAAUUAUUGGGCGUAAAGGGCGCGUAGGCGGCCUUCUAAGUCAGACGUGAAAUCCCCCGGCUUAACCUGGGAACUGCGUCUGAUACUGGGAGGCUUGAGUAUGGGAGAGGGAUGUAGAAUUCCAGGUGUAGCGGUGAAAUUCGUAGAUAUCGGGAGGAACACCAGUGGCGAAGGCGGAUCUCUGGGCCAUAACUGACGCUGAGGAGCGAAAGCAUGGGGAGCGAACAGG
rnacentral:rRNA from 1 species